rnacentral:rRNA from 1 species
GACGAACGCUGGCGGCGUGCUUAACACAUGCAAGUCGAACGAUGAAGCCGGAGCUUGCUCUGGUGAAUUAGUGGCGAACGGGUGAGUAACACGUGAGUAACCUGCCCUUGACUCUGGGAUAACUGCGGGAAACUGUAGCUAAUACCGGAUACGACCCUCGGAGGCAUCUCCUGGGGUGGAAAGAAUUUCGGUCAAGGAUGGACUCGCGGCCUAUCAGCUAGUUGGUGAGGUAAAGGCUCACCAAGGCGACGACGGGUAGCCGGCCUGAGAGGGUGACCGGCCACACUGGGACUGAGACACGGCCCAGACUCCUACGGGAGGCAGCAGUGGGGAAUAUUGCACAAUGGGCGCAAGCCUGAUGCAGCAACGCCGCGUGAGGGAUGACGGCCUUCGGGUUGUAAACCUCUUUUAGCAGGGAAGAAGCGAAAGUGACGGUACCUGCAGAAAAAGCACCGGCUAACUACGUGCCAGCCGCCGCAGUAA